UCCGGUUGAUCCUGCCAGAGGCCACUGCUAUCGGAGUUCGAUUAAGCCAUGCGAGUCGAGAGGUGUAAGACCUCGGCAUACUGCUCAGUAACACGUGGACAACCUACCCUGAAGAGGGGGAUAACCCCGGGAAACUGGGGAUAAUACCCCAUAGGCUAUGGAUGCUGGAAUGCUCUGUAGUUGAAAGGUCCGCCGCUUCAGGAUGGGUCUGCGGCCGAUUAGGUUGUUGUUGGGGUAACGGCCCAACAAGCCUGUAAUCGGUACGGGUUGUGGGAGCAAGAGCCCGGAGAUGGAUUCUGAGACACGAAUCCAGGCCCUACGGGGCGCAGCAGGCGCGAAAACUUUACAAUGCGAGCAAUCGUGAUAAGGGAACUCCGAGUGCCCGUAAAAUCGGGCUGUCCGCCAGUGUAAAUAACUGGUGAAGAAAGGGCCGGGCAAGACCGGUGCCAGCCGCCGCGGUAAUACCGGCGGCUCGAGUGGUGGCCACUAUUACUGGGCUUAAAGCGUUCGUAGCUGGUCUGUUAAGUCUCUGGGGAAAUCUUCCGGCUUAACCGGAAGGCGUCUCAGGGAUACUGGCAGACUAGGGACCGGAAGAGGUGAGAGGUACUCCAGGGGUAGGAGUGAAAUCCUGUAAUCCUUGGGGGACCACCUGUGGCGAAGGCGUCUCACCAGGACGGCUCCGACAGUGAGGAACGAAAGCUGGGGGAGCAAACCGGAUUAGAUACCCGGGUAGUCCCAGCUGUAAACGAUGCGCGUUAGGUGUAUCGGUGACCACGAGUCACCGAGGUGCCGAAGAGAAAUCGUGAAACGCGCCGCCUGGGAAGUACGGUCGCAAGGCUGAAACUUAAAGGAAUUGGCGGGGGAGCACCACAACGGGUGGAGCCUGCGGUUUAAUCGGACUCAACGCCGGGAAACUCACCGGACAAGACAGCUGAAUGAUAGUCGGGCUGAAGACUCUACUUGACUAGCUGAGAGGAGGUGCAUGGCCGUCGUCAGUUCGUACUGUGAAGCAUCCUGUUAAGUCAGGCAACGAGCGAGACCCA
rnacentral:rRNA from 1 species